AUACUUACCUGGCAGGGGAGACACCAUGAUCAUGAAGGUGGUUCACCCAGGGUGAGGCUCAGCCAUUGCACUUCGGUUGUGCUGACCCCUGCGAAUGGCGAUGAACUGUAUCGAAGUGCUUUUGGAGUUGUGGGUGAUUGGCCGGCUGUCUACGGAUUGUCACG